CCUCCAACCUUGGCCUCCCAAAGUGAUGGAAUUACAGGCACACCUCUGAUGAUUGCUGCAUGUAUUCUGCCCAGGGUUUUUGGCUGUGAUCACUGGGAGAGAUAGAAGGGACUGUAUUUGCUCCAUCUUACCCAGCUCUGCAAACCUGCUGGAGAGUUUAAUUGGCAUAUGACUUCUAUCCUCAAAGUCACAAGAUGGCUGCUGGAGUUCCAGUCAGGAUGUCUGUACAGAACAUCUGUCCAGUCCCUGGGAUGGUGAGGCUAUAACCACAAAGGAAUAAGAGAAGACGACUAGUUUUGUAAUGGCUUUGAAUGAUGCAUUGGCCCACGUGGACCACCUUCCAUUUCCCAAGACUUUUUGAAGGCAAUGAAUGAGAAGAAAGCAGAGAAAACAGUGGGCGUGAGGUCAGAUGACUCAGGCUUGAGUACUGAUCACAUCAAGGAUUGGACGCACUGCUCUUAGGAAGGCACAACUUCUACUACUUUCAGUCUUAUCAACUGUGAGAGUGUACCCUUGCUGUAGAUGCCACCCGCCCAGCAGUCCUCAUCAUCUUGGCCCAGGAUCACCUGAAACAGAUGAUCCUCCUUUUGAGCUACCAUCAGAAGGUCCACAGUACUAGCCCAGCGCUACAUCCCAAUGCCUACGCCAUUCAUCUCACCUCAUCUCAUCACGUAGACAUUUCAUCAUGUCACAUCAUCACAAGAAGGGAAUCUAUUCACAAAUAAGGUUUUGUGGAUUCAACAGCUUUACUGAAGAUAUGUAGAUUGUUGUUAGCGCUUCCUACCUUGCACAGCCUCUUGUCCCGUCACUGGCCCCAUGCAUCUUCCUCUGCUGCCUUCAAGAAGCUCCAGAUCCUGCCACAGACGUGCUCCACUCAGAGGACUGGAGUCCAAUCCCCUGACAGUGCUUUUCUCUUUGGGAAGCACCCCCUCCCCCACUGCCAUUAAACCUCUGGAAUUCUAUGGAAUAA
rnacentral:lncRNA from 1 species